CUACGGGACGCAGCAGUGGGGAAUAUUGCACAAUGGGCGCAAGCCUGAUGCAGCCAUGCCGCGUGUAUGAAGAAGGCCUUCGGGUUGUAAAGUACUUUCAGCGGGGAGGAAGGGAGUAAAGUUAAUACCUUUGCUCAUUGACGUUACCCGCAGAAGAAGCACCGGCUAACUCCGUGCCAGCAGCCGCGGUAAUACGGAGGGUGCAAGCGUAAUCGGAAUUACUGGGCGUAAAGCGCACGCAGGCGGUGUGUUAAGUCAGAUGUGAAAUCCCCGGGCUCCACCUGGGAACUGCAUCUGAUACUGGCAAGCUUGAGUCUCGUAGAGGGGGGUAGAAUUCCAGGUGUAGCGGUGAAAUGCGUAGAGAUCUGGAGGAAUACCGGUGGCGAAGGCGGCCCCCUGGACGAAGACUGACGCUCAGGUGCGAAAGCGUGGGGAGCAAACAGGAUUAGAUACCCUCGUAGUC
rnacentral:rRNA from 1 species